rnacentral:rRNA from 1 species
UACGAAGGUGGCAAGCGUUGUUCGGAUUUACUGGGCGUACAGGGAGCGUAGGCGGUUGGGUAAGCCCUUCGUGAAAUCUCCGGGCCUAACCCGGAAAGUGCGGAGGGGACUGCUCGGCUAGAGGAUGGGGGAGGAGCGCGGAAUUCCCGGUGUAGCGGUGAAAUGCGUAGAGAUCGGGAGGAAGGCCGGUGGCGAAGGCGGCGCUCUGGAACAUUUCUGACGCUGAGGCUCGAAAGCGUGGGGAGCAAACAGG